UACAGAGGUCCCAAGCGUUGUUCGGAUUCACUGGGCGUAAAGGGUGCGUAGGUGGUGAGGUAAGUCGGAUGUGAAAUCUCCGAGCUCAACUCGGAAACUGCAUUGGAAACUACCUUGCUCGAGGGUUGGAGGGGGGACUGGAAUGCUUGGUGUAGCAGUGAGAUGCGUAGAUAUCAAGCGGAACACCUGUGGCGAAGGCGGCUGACUGGACAUGUAUUGACGCUGAGGUGCGAAAGCGUGGGGAGCAAACAGG
rnacentral:rRNA from 1 species